rfam:Branchiostoma floridae genomic scaffold BRAFLscaffold_41, whole genome shotgun sequence.
UUGAGUGUGUAUGGAUGGUGUUCAGCACCAGGGACAGGGUUGAGUGUGUAUGGAUGGUGUUCAGCACCAGGGACAGACUUGUGUGUGU